rnacentral:rRNA from 1 species
AUUGAACGCUGGCGGCAGGCCUAACACAUGCAAGUCGAACGAGUGGCGGACGGGUGAGUAAUGUCGGGGAAACUGCCUGAUGGAGGGGGAUAACUACUGGAAACGGUAGCUAAUACCGCAUACCAUCAGAUGUGCCCAGAUGGGAAUAGCUUGUUGGUGGGGUAACGGCACACCAAGGCGACGAUACCUAGCUGGUCUGAGAGGAUGACCAGACAUCCUGGAACUGAGACACGGUCAAGAUGCCAACGGGAGGCAGCAGAGGGGAAUACUGCAAAAUGGGGGCAAGCCUGAUGCAGCCAUGCCGAGGGUAUGAAGAAGGCCGUCGGGUUGUAAAGUACUUUCAGCUGGGAGGCGUUACCCUCAGAAGAGGCACCGGCUAACUCCGUGCGAGCAGCCGCGGUAAUAC